GACGAACGCUGGCGGCGUGCUUAACACAUGCAAGUCGAACGAAGUGGCGAACGGGUGAGUAACGUGUAAUCAACUUGCUCAUCAGAGGGGAACAACAGUUGGAACCGUCUGCAAAUCCGCCAAAGUGAAGGAGGGGAUUGCGUGUGAUUAGCUAGUUGGAGGGGUAACGGCCCCCCAAGGCGAUGAUCAGUAGCCGGUCUGAGAGGAUGAACAGCCACACUGGAACUGAGACACGGUCCAGACUCCUACGGGAGGCAGCAGUGGGGAAUAUUGCACAAUGGGCGCAAGCCUGAUGCAGCCAUGCCGCGUGUAUGAAGAAGGCCUUCGGGUUGUAAAGUACUUUCAGCCAGGAGCGUUACUCGCAGAAGAAGCACCGGCUAACUCCGUGCCAGCAGCCGCGGUAAUAC
rnacentral:rRNA from 1 species